rnacentral:rRNA from 1 species
AAGACCUUGCGCUUUUGGAGCGGCCGAUGCCUGAUUAGCUUGUUGGUAAGGUAAAAGCUUACCAAGGCUUCGAUCAGUAGCUGGUCUGAGAGGACGGCCAGCCACACUGGGACUGAGACACGGCCCAGACUCCUACGGGAGGCAGCAGUGGGGAAUUUUGGACAAUGGGGGCAACCCUGAUCCAGCCAUGCCGCGUGAGUGAAGAAGGCCUUCGGGUUGUAAAGCUCUUUCAGCCGGAACGAAACGGUCACGGUUAAUACCCGUGAUUACUGACGGUACCGGAAGAAGAAGCACCGGCUAACUACGUGCCAGCAGCCGCGGUAAUACGUAGGGUGCGAGCGUUAAUCGGAAUUACUGGGCGUAAAGCGUGCGCAGGUGGUUUUGUAAGUCAGAUGUGAAAGCCCCGGGCUCAACCUGGGAACU